GGGAAUGUGGCUUAGUGGUAGAGUGCUUGCCUAGUAUGCAUGAGGCCCUAAGUUCGAUUCCUUGGUACCA
rfam:Dipodomys ordii contig_66817, whole genome shotgun sequence.